rnacentral:rRNA from 1 species
AUUCGUCCAAGUGAAAUAGAGGACAGUGGCGGACGGGUGAGUAACGCGUGGGUAACCUGCCUCGUACUGGGGGAUAACAGUUGGAAACAGCUGCUAAUACCGCAUAAGCUCACAGAGCCACAUGGCUCAGAGAGAAAAACUCCGGUGGUACGAGAUGGACCCGCGUCUGAUUAGCUAGUUGGUGAGGUAACGGCUCACCAAGGCGACGAUCAGUAGCCGGCCUGAGAGGGUGAACGGCCACAUUGGGACUGAGACACGGCCCAAACUCC